GAUCCGGUGGCCAAGUUGGUAAGGCAAGAGCUAAACAAGCUCUAAAUCGCAGGUUCGAAUCCUGCCCGGAUCUC
rnacentral:tRNA from 1 species